rnacentral:lncRNA from 1 species
GAUACAUCUCUUGCUGUGAGUGUCAUCAAUCGAAUCCAGACUGGGAGCACUGAAUAUCUAUGAAGAAUAUCCUUAUAUACUUGAGAAAGACUAAGGAUAUGCUCUUGAUCUUUGGAGGAGAAGAAUUUAGGGUUUUGGGGUACACAGAUUGAUAAUAGAAGAUCUACAUCAGGAUGUGUAUUCCUAUGUUAUGAUGGUACAGUAUAUUGGAAGAUUUCCAAACAACCAUUCAUUGUAGAUUCCAUCAUGGAGGCAGAGUUCAUCGCCGCUUCCGAGGGUGCUUAGGAAGAAUUCUAAUUCAUGAAAUUUGUUGCGGAGCUUGGAAUGAUGACAUAAGAUAUCAUAUCACUUUAUUGCGACAACAUUGGUACCAUGGCUCUGGCUAAAAAAUCAAGAUCUCAUCAGAAAUCUAAACACAGAGCGACGAUUCCAUCUGAUUUGUGAAUACCUCGAAAAGAAGUUCAUCGAGGUGCAAAAAGUAGACUUCACGGAGAAUAUGGUAGACCCACUAAGCUGUUGAGCCAACUGAAAACUGAAGCUCAUCUUGAAAAGAUGGGGUUUAGGUUUAUGAUCAAUUGGCUUUAAUGCAAGUAGAAGAUUAUUAGAUGUAUACUCUAAAAGUCAAGUUGGCUGAUACAUUAUCUUUCUAGUGGCAUAAUUUUAUAAUUAAAUAAUUAAAAUAGGAUUAAUUUUUUAUUCAUGUUAUCAUAUAUCCAUGAAUCGUCUAAAGAAUUAAUAAGAUGAUGACAUAUAUUCUCAAGAAUUGAAAUUUUGAUACAUAUAUCAUUGGUGAUUAAUUCUAAAUGCUCACAAUCAAUGGAUCAUCACGAAAAUGAUGAUUAAUCCGAUUAGAUUGAUGCACGGAUCAUUUUUCUCUGAAUAGAUGAGUCUCGAGUCCACAGUGUGAGGAUACUGGAGCGAGAGUGCAAGUGAUUGUUAGAGAACAAUGAUACCGAGCAUGACCAACACGAGUAGUCACAUGGAUGUCUAUCCACUCGUCAGUAACAUACUCGAUGCUACAGUGGUGUGAGUAAUCAUUAAACCUGUGGUGCCUCAGCUAUUCACAAUGAGGCUGCUGUAGUUUGACUACAUAAUCACUUGGUUACCUAGCCAUUCAAAAUCUUACGAUGUAUGUUGGCCACAGUAGAUUCGUUGUAGGAGUAGAGUGUGCACCUAAAUGGGAUCUAUUGACCUUGAUAGAUAAGAAAUAGUCCCAUGUUAUUCAUGAGACUGAGUUCAAAAAUUCAUAACCAUGAUAGUGUGAAUGAUGGAAAGGAGUUUUCAUAAGGCUUCACAUAAAACUCAAAUCGAUUGAAUGUUACAUAUGAUAAGCAAUGAUGUUUGACGAGUUAUCCGUAACCUCUAUCUUGUCAGAACUCAUGAUAGAAGAAUCGAAUCACACGAUAAAUAUACCUAAAGGUUCAUUAUUCAAUUCUGCUGGAUUACUACUACAUACUGCUAGGUGUCACUGGUGGACUGUGAGACCAAUAAAAAUUAUUUUGAUGAUCAAUAAUUUUUAAUUGAUUGAAUUGAAAUUAUUCCAAUCUACUGAAAGAUAUUUCAAUGAUAUUGAUGAUGAAGAUCACAAUAUAUCUCACUACCAGACAGAAUUGAACCUAUGAGAUUACACAAACAAGAGAUUUGAUCUAUGAUUGAUCAAUUGGACUUGUAAAAUCCCAAUUGAAUUUGAAUUUGGUGAAAUCCAAUUAAAUUUAGUAAAUCAUGCUAGCACAUAGUUAAACCCAAUUCCUCUUUAGACUUAGACUCCCUAUUGGAUAGGAAUUUUGACCAAGUCAUUGCAUGCAAUUAGGAUGAGGAUAAGGACCAAGAGUUGGCCUUAUCUUAUCUUUCUCUGGGCAUGGAUUUCUUGGAGAGAAGGCCCAUCUAGAUAAUGACUAUGAGGUGGCGCUAGGGUUUUGGAAAGGAGGCACAUGCCUUCUUUUUGGAUAAGAUCCAAAAAGGGGCAUGCGUUUUGUUCUUGGUGUGAAACAAAUGAGAGGGGCCACACCCCAUCUAAUCUGGCAAGAAAUCUCAUGAUUUCAAGGUGCCAAAUUAGAGAAAUAGAGUCAUUCUACCUUAAGGAUUUGACUGAUCAAAUUCUUGAAGCCCUAGGACUCUUCUUUGUUUUAUUUAAGAGAUGAGAUCUCUUAAAAAAAAUGUAACCCACAUUAGGAAGAAUUCUCCCAUGCCAUGAGAUGAUAUCUCCCACCUCUCCAUGCCCUUCUUCUCUCUUUCUCUCUUUCUCUUUCUCUCACAUCCAUGUAGUUGGGCAUCCCUGGUUCUUAUGCCCAAGAGCUGGGCAUCCUCUCUUCCACAUCCAAGGGUUUGGGGCUGAUCUACAUGUUGAUGUAGAUCUACACCUAGGAAGAGAAGAUCCAGAUUUACAUAAGAAAAGAGAGAAAUCAGAUCUAGGAUCAAGUGUUGAUCCAAAGAUCUAGGAUCAAGAGUUGAUCCAAAGAUCUAGGAUCAAGAGUUGAUCCAAUAAUCCAGGAUCAAGAGUUGAUCC